GAUUAACGCUGGCGGCGUGCCUAACGCAUGCAAGUCGAGCGGCAGCGAGUUUUACACUGAAUUCUGGAAGCUUCUAGUUGAAAGAGAAGAUUUAUUCAAGAAUUUUGUGUAAAAUGUCGGCGAGCGGCGGACGGCUGAGUAACGCGUGGGAACGUACCCCAAAGUGAGGGAUAACGCAUCGAAAGGUGUGCUAAUACCGCAUAUGGUCUUCGGAUUAAAGCCUUCGGGCGCUUUGGGAACGGCCUGCGUAAGAUUAGAUAGUUGGUGGGGUAAUGGCCUACCAAGUCGACGAUCUUUAACUGGUUUGAGAGGAUGAUCAGUCAGACUGGAACUGAGACACGGUCCAGACUCCUACGGGAGGCAGCAGUGAGGAAUCUUCCACAAUGGGCGAAAGCCUGAUGGAGCAACGCCGCGUGCAGGAUGAAGGCCUUCGGGUUGUAAACUGCUUUUAUAAGUGAGGAUUAUGACAGUAACUUAUGAAUAAGAAUCGGCUAACUACGUG
rnacentral:rRNA from 1 species